rnacentral:lncRNA from 1 species
UAAAAGCAGGCUGCCGGAGCCGGGAGUGGCAAUCCCCUAAUGUUCCCUUCCACCUUGUGGAAGUUUUGUUCUUUCGCUCUUUGCAAUAAAUCCCAUUGUUGCUCGCUCUUUGGGGUCUCACUGUCUGUGCGAGCUGUAAUACUCGCCGCAAAGGUGUCUGGCUUCACUUCCGAGACCAGCGAGACCCCGAACCCACCGGGAGGAAUGAACAACUCCGGAUGGGAGGGACAAACAACACCAGACGCACCGCCUUAAGAGUCCUAACGCUCACCGCGGAGGUCUGCGGCUUCACUCUUGAAUGAAGCCAGCGAGAUCACAAACCCACCAGAAGGAAGGAACUCUGAACACAUCCGAAAAUCAGAAGGAACAAACUCCGGACACACUACCUUUAAGAACUGUAACACUCAAAUCGCGAGGGUCCACGGCUUCGUUCUUGAAGUCAGUGAGACCAAGAACCCACAAAUUCCGGACACUUCCCCACACAGAGGGAACUGGCCUAACACUCUGGUGGUGCCAAUAGGAUGUACUGACAGAUCAGAAGUGGUCGUGAGAGAAGGAGCAAGUAGCCAGAAGAGUGAAGUGUGCACUGGCUGAGAUGUGGGAGCAGGUGUUGUUGGUUUCCCCGGAGUAAGUUACCUUGAGUGAGUUAAGGUUAAGAUAUCCCAGGGGUGAGGUUGAGCAGGCAGUUGUGUAUGUGACCCUGGGGAAAGUCUAGCUGAAGAUACAAAGAUGGGAUGAGAUCACCAAGGAGUAAGUGUCUUUAGCAAAGAGAAGAGACCAAGGACUGAAUCUGGAUACCUCAACAUUUGGAGUCAGAGCCUGAAAAGGAUCCCUCAAAAGUGCCCAAGAAGCAGCAGAAUGAGGAAAGACAGCCCAGGGAGUGUGGCACAGCUGCUCCUCACCACUUCAGGCUCCCCUGGAGUCCAAUGCACUGGGGCCUCAUUCCUGGGUAUUAUAAUUGCCUCCUAAGUGGCCUCUGGCUUAUGUCUCCUACCCCAGUUGAUGUUCAUCACAUCAGCCAGAGUGGCUCUGUUAACACCCAAGCCAGUUCCUGCCCAUCUGCUGAGAAUCUUCAAGGGCUUUCACCUCACUCUGAGUCGAAGCCAAUAUCUUCACAAUGGCCUGGCCCUUUGCCAACUGCUGUGGUUUAAAUGUUUGUACCCUUCAAAACUUAGGUUGAAAUUUGCUUGGCAACAUGGUGGUGGCAGGAGGUGGAACCUUUGGGAUGUGAUAGGGCCAAGGGCUCUGCCCUCAGGGGUAGGAUUAAUGCUGUUACAAAAGAGCAAGUUUGACUUUCUUUUGCCUCUUUGCCCUUCUACCUUCCUUCCUGGGAGGAUGCAGCAAGAAGGCCCUCGCCAGAUAUCAAGGCCUUAAGCUUGGACUUCCCAGCCUCCAGAACUGGGGGAAGAGCCAAGAUGUCUGAAUAGAAACAGCUCCGGUCUACAGCUCCCAGCGUGAGCAAUGCAGAAGACAGGUGAUUUCUGCAUUUCCAUCUGAGGUACCGGGUUCAUCUCACUAGGGAGUGCCAGACAGUGGGCGCAGGUCAGGGGGUGCUCGCACCGUGUGCCAGCCGAAGCAGG